rnacentral:rRNA from 1 species
CUACGGAAGGUCCGGGCGUUAUCCGGAUUUAUUGGGUUUAAAGGGAGCGCAGGCGGAGAUGCAAGCGUGACGUCAAAUUUCGGGGCUCAACCCCGUCUCGCGUCGCGAACUGCGUCCCUUGGUUGCGGGACGGGGAGGCGGAACUCGUGGAGUAGCGGGGCAAUGCAUAGAUAUCAAGAAGAACUCCGAUUGCGAAGGCAGUCCGCUGGGGCACGUCUGACGCUGAUGCUCGAAGGUGCGGGAAUCAAACAGGAUUAGAUACCCUGGUAGUCCGCACGGUAAACGAUGAUUACCCGAUGUCGGCGGCAGACAGUCGGCGGCCAAGCGAAAGCGAUAAGUAAUCCACCUGGGGAGUACGCCGGCAACGGUGAAACUCAAAUGAAUGGACGGGG